CAGUCGCCGCGGUAAUACGUAGGGUGCGAGCGUUAAUCGGAAUUACUGGGCGUAAAGCGUGCGCAGGCGGUUCGUUAAGACAGAUGUGAAAUCCCCGGGCUUAACCUGGGAACUGCAUUUGUGACUGGCGAGCUAGAGUAUGGCAGAGGGGGGUAGAAUUCCACGUGUAGCAGUGAAAUGCGUAGAUAUGCGGAGGAACACCGAUGGCGAAAGCAGCCCCCUGGGCCAAUACUGACGCUCAUGCACGAAAGCGUGGGGAGCAAACAGGAUUAGAUACCCCCGUAGUCCCUGUCUCUUAUAC
rnacentral:rRNA from 1 species